GCAGUGGGGGGUAGGGGAUGGAAUGGGUGAGAUGCUUCCUGGGAGGGUAGAAUGGGUACCUUCCUUCAUACACUAUCACCUUUUCUUGAAGCAUAAUUUACCUGUAGGAAAGAAUACAUAUCAUAACUCAGGAGCCUGUUGGGUUUUCAGCAGCUGGACUCACUCACCAAACCCACUUCAGAAAGAGCGAGAGCAGGAACACAAGCAGGGGGAGUGGAGAAGGAGAAGCAGUCUUCCUGAUGAGCAGGGAGCCCAAUGUGGGGCUCAAUCCCAGGACCCUGGGAUCAUGACCUGAGCCGAAGGCAGACGCUUAAUGACUGAGCCACCCAGGCGCCCCUACGCCACGAUUUUUAAAUCUAUUCUGCUAUUGACGAGAUGUGGGUGGUUUCUGGAUUUUGUUGUACAUGACUUAACAGAGGUGAAAGCCCCACCACUCUGAAUCCUCUGUCUGAAUUAUCUGAAAGGCAUCACCAUAGAGGCAUGCUGCUCGGUACUCAUCUUUCUCACUGGGCCUUCCUUAGCAAGUUACCAACUCCCUGAUGCUCUGAGCUCCAGGGGCCUUUCCUCCCAGCAGAAGGCAGAGGACAGGUGCCUGACCAGGGCAUUGCACACUCCAGGUUGCAGGGGAAGAACCGACGAGGUCCUGGGCAGACACCGGACCUCAGUCCUGAGAGUGGAGCUCAGCCUCCCGCUCAGGACGCAGCUAGCUGGCUGCCCUGUGUGUCCACCGUGAGUCCUUCACCUGCUAGGGGGCUGCUCCUGCCAUUUUCUCUCCUUCCUGGAAGCUGCUCACCUACCCUGGGACCCAAGAAGUCUGCCUUCUCACCAGCAGGAAGGCUAAUGCCCAUGGCAGGAUUUCCAGAAGCCUCCCCCAAGGCCAGAUCUGUGGGGAGUAACCAGGGACUCGGUUUCCUGUGAACUUGCUCUGACGCGGCUCAGAGGACAGAGAGCUGGAGGGGCCUUCCAGAGGCGCCUGCCAGCAUGGCUCCGGUUUGAUGCGAGGGCCUCCUUUGGCCUCACCAGCUCACACUGGGCUCCUUCGGGGGCCACCUUCCUCUGACGGUGUGGGUCCUGUUGGCAGCGUGGGGCAACUGCUGGUGGCCACUGUGUUUCCCACAGACUUUCUGAAAAAUUACUGAGUUUUAAAAAUUGGAUGUGAACAUAUGUAUGUGAUUUGAAAUUCUAGCCCUAUUUACAAGAAUACAAUGAAAUUAGUUGCCUUCCUCUUCCAGAGCUCAGGCUUCCUCCCAGAGGCUCCCAGUAGGGAGAGUUCCCAGUACAUCCUUCCACAGUUUUCUCUUCAAAUAGAAACAUAGCCAUAUAUGUGCAGUCCUGUCGUGCGCACACUUUGUCACUUAGAAAUAUGCCUUGGAGAUUGUCCCUUAUCAGCUCCUACAGCUCUGGCACUUUUAUUCAAGUCUGUGUUCAAUAAUUUAGUCAUAGCUCAUGCCAUUAACCAGACCCUGCAAACUGAUUUCUUUGGAGGGGUGGGCGUAGAUGGAGGGAGUUUAUUCUCCUAUUAAGAUUUUGGUAAGGUUUUUUUGGGUUUUUUUUACUGAAAUGUAAUACAUAUCUCUAAAGUUAACCCUUUGUGAGAUGUGUGUGUGUGUGUGUACAUGUCUGCAUUUUUUUUCUCAGUUUGCCAUUUGCCUUUUGACUUCAUUUAUGGUGUUAUUUUUAUUUCCAGAGAACUCUAUUUUUUAAUCUAAUUAAAUUUUUUACCUAUGUCCUUUAUGGCUUCUGAAUCUGUAUUUUGUGUGGACAGAGCCUUUCCCAUCCCACACCUAUAAGAGAAUGAUUACCUGUUCCAGUCGUUCACAGUUUAACUUUAUACCUAACUUUUUGUUGUUGUUGCUACAUCCGGAGUAUAUUUUGCUACAUGGAAAGUUACGAGAUUUCAUUUAAUGUUAUUCCAGAUUUCAUUAAUUUCAUUUACUGACCAAAUCUUCCUGCUGUAUUUAUUUGAAAUUCCAUUUUAUCAUAAAUGAAACUCUGAUAUUAUUCAGGUAUCCUCUGCACUCAGUUGUCUUCCUUGGCUCCUGUGUCUAUUCAUACGUCAUAGCACCACAUCGCUUAUGCUUCUGUAGUCUGUGACGCUUACAUCUGAGUUUUAUGUGCCUAAAUCUCCACUUGAUCCUUUUAUUUCCCUCACUCUUCCUUUUUUCUAGGAUCUCCUUAUAGAUAAAAACCAGCUUAUCUAGUUGAAACUGAACUAUCUUUCUAUUUUUGUCUAGACAACCAUACACAUAUAGAUCAAUUGGAGAAGAGUUUCAAGUUGAUCAUGUGAGGAUUUUCAAUCCCAGAAGACAGAUUAUCUUUCCAUGUAGUCAUAGCCUUAAUUUUUUUUUUCUCUUUGGUGUUUUAAGUUUUUGUCAAGAGAAGUGAUUUUUAUUCUUCGGUGUUUUUUAAAUCUUUUUUUUUUAUUGCUAACAUAAAUGGAAUAUUUUUUUUCCAUUUUAUUGUCUGACUGGUUUCAGUUUUUAAAAAGUCACUGAUUUUUGCAAAUUAAAUUUGUAGCUAGGCACUUGACUGAACUGCCCAUUAUUUAAAAUAAUUUUUCAGUUCUCUUUGUUCUUUCAUGCAUAAUACAUUCUGUCUGCAAACCUAAUAAUUCACCCUCUCUAUUUUUGAAGUCAGUACUUCUCCUAUGUUAAUUGCACUAAAUAGCACCUCAAGAUACAUUCUAUGAUGUGACAUUAGUUGACAUAUUUGAGGCUUGUAUGGGAAUGUUACUAGCAUUUCACCACGAAGCAUGCAUUUUUAUCACCAACAGUUUUAUCAUGUUGUGGAAGCAAAUAUCUAAUCUUAUUCAGUUGAUUUUUAAAAUCAGAAAUUUGUUGAAUUUCAUUGAAUGCCUUGCUGACCUCUAUGGAAAGGAUUGUAUGUCUUUUCUCUUUUGACUUGGUAAGAGAUGCAGGUGGAGCCCCCACUCCUGACCCCCCACUUGAGAUCUGCAUUCAAGCUGGGUGCACCCAUCUGCUAGCUGCUGGGAGUGCAGGCUGCUACGGGCUCACAGUUGCCAUCUCUCCGAGAAUUGCCCUGAGACCACAGGGCCCUUUUCCCACAGAUCCCCUGGAGGUGGACACAGCCCAUAGUCACACUGGGCUGGAACUGGUUACAGAUAAUCAGAACCCUGGCCUCCAGCUGGAGCAGGCGGAGGGGUGCAAAUCACCCUCCAGAGCCCCCUGCAGAUCAGACCAAAGCUGAACUCCAGAGGAAACUCCUAUUCACUCUGGGUCUCCCCACCUGCUCCUGCCCCUUAAAGCUUUCUCCCAACAGCUCCCCUGAUAAAGCACCUGCGUAAGAAUCCCCACCUCAGGCUCUGCUGAGUCUGACAUAAAGUCGUAUGCAUGGCAAUUGACUUCCUAACUUGGCCCACACUCGCAUUUCACGGAGGAACCCUACAUGGUGGAGUUUCUUGUUUCUUUAAUGUAUUCCUGGACUAUAUUUGCUAGUCUUUCACUUACGUUUCCAUUAAUAAUCAUAAAAAGAUUAGUUUAUUGUUUUAUUUUUGUGUUUUCUCAGGACUUAGCAUCAUAUGUGCUAAAUAAAAAUAAUUAUGAGGCUCUCUCUUUUUAUCAACCUAGAACAUUUAAAAUGACAUUGGAAUUAUCCAUUACUUCAAUUUGAGGGUUUCAUCACAUUUCAUAAAAAUUAUCUGGACCUUGGUGGGGGGUACAGACUAUCAGUAACAUUCUCAACUGUUCCAUGGUAAUUUGUCUAUUUAAAUAUUCUAUUUCUUCUGAAGUCACAAGUAUUUUUUCCUAGAUAGGGAAAAAUGCAGAUACUGAAUGUUUCCAGGGUAACAUCCAUUCUAUUUUGCUUACAUGGUUUUAAAUAAAAUAUACUUUCAAAAUUACUUUAUUUUCAUCUGCUUUUUGUGUUAGUUCUUCAUCUCAUUUUUACUUUUGUGCUUUGUGCUUCCCUUUUAUUUCCUUGUUAUAAAAAUAGUUUUGUUGGGCGCCUGGGUGGCUCAGUCAGUUAAGCGGCUGCCUUCGGCUCAGGUCAUGAUCCCAGGGUCCUGGGAUCGAGUCCCGCAUCGGGCUCCCUGCUCUGCGGGGAGCCUGCUUCUCCCUCUCCC